GGAGAGAUGUCCGAGUGGCUGAAGGAGCUCGUCUCGAAAACGAGUAGGCGAUGAGCCUCGUGGGUUCGAAUCCCACCCUCUCCGCCA
rnacentral:tRNA from 1 species